rnacentral:rRNA from 1 species
UACGGAGGGUGCAAGCGUUGUUCGGAAUUAUUGGGCGUAAAGCGCGCGCAGGCGGUCUGAAAAGUCUAUGGGUGAAAUGCCGGGGCUCAACCCCGUGCAUGCCCAGGAUACUGUCAGACUGGAGACACGUAGAGGCAAGCGGAAUUCCGGGUGUAGCGGUGGAAUGCGUAGAGAUCCGGAAGAACACCGGAGGCGAAGGCGGCUUGCUGGGCGUGAUCUGACGCUGAGGCGCGAAAGCGUGGGGAGCGAACAGG